UUGUGGUUUCUCUGCUGGUGUGACAGAAGGAAAAGCUGGUCUAACGAUUGGGGAUACAAUUGGACGAACACCAGGAAUCCCUGGAACAAGAGGGCGGGAUGCUGCUGGAAGCACACCAAUUGCUCCAGGUGGACAAGGAGGAAACAUGGGCCUAGCUGGGUAUGGCAAGGAAUAUCGUUGAAUUCCAGGAGGUGGCACAGUCCCUUGAGAAGCAGCUCCCGGCAUGACACCAUAACCAUUUGUAAUAGGCGCG
rnacentral:misc_RNA from 1 species